UUAAGCAGCCAUAUCACCCUGCAACUCCCAACUGGCAGCCCACUGAAGCCCAGCAGGUGUGAGCCUGGUCAGUACCUGGAUGGUAGACUCCUGGGAAAAACAGGUUGUUUCUGGAA
rnacentral:rRNA from 1 species